UAGAAAUUUUAGUUUGUAUUUUAAUUAGAUAUAUACUAAUUAGGUAUCUAGCUAGUAUAUCCUACCUAGAUACCUAAUUUACAUAUUCAGGCUGGUUGUUCUAGCUGAUUUUUCUA
rnacentral:miRNA from 1 species